GGGGGUGUAGCUCAAAUGGUAGAGCGGUUCAUUAGCAUUGAACAGGUAGGGAGAUCGAUGCUCUCCACCUCCA
rfam:Ectocarpus siliculosus strain Ec 32, whole genome shotgun sequence assembly, unassigned sequences LGTn